GCCGGGCGUGGUGGUGCGUGCCUGUAAUCCCAGCUACUCAGGAGGCUGAGGCAGGAGGAUUGCUUGAACCCGGGAGGCGGAGAUUGCAGUGAGCCGAGAUUGCACCACUGCACUCCAGCCUGGGCAACAGAGUGAGACUCUGUCUCUA
rfam:Homo sapiens chromosome 14, GRCh38 reference primary assembly.